rnacentral:rRNA from 1 species
UACGGGGGGGGCAAGCGUUGUUCGGAAUUACUGGGCGUAAAGCGCGCGUAGGCGGACCUGCAAGUCGGGGGUGAAAGCCCGAGGCUCAACCUCGGAACUGCCUUCGAUACUGCGGGUCUCGAGUCCGGGAGAGGUGAGUGGAAUUCCUAGUGUAGAGGUGAAAUGCGUAGAUAUCAGGAGGAACACCGGUGGUGUAGACGGCUUUCUGGACCGUAACUGACGCUGAGACACGAAAGCGUGGGUAGCAAACAGG